rnacentral:misc_RNA from 1 species
AAGGAUCAUUACCGAGUUCAUGCCCUCACGGGUAGACCUCCCACCCUUUGUAUACCUUACCUUUUGUUGCUUUGGCGGGCCGCCUAGCUACUGGCUUCGGCUGGUAAGUGCCCGCCAGAGGACCCAAACCCAAACCCAUUUAUAGUGUCGUCUGAGAAAAAAGUUUAAUAUUUAAAACUUUCAACAACGGAUCUCUUGGCUCUG